rnacentral:rRNA from 1 species
CAGCCGCCACGGUAAUACGAAGGGGGCUAGCGUUGUUCGGAAUUACUGGGCGUAAAGCGCACGUAGGCGGAUAUUUAAGUCAGGGGUGAAAUCCCAGAGCUCAACUCUGGAACUGCCUUUGAUACUGGGUAUCUUGAGUAUGGAAGAGGUGAGUGGAAUUCCGAGUGUAGAGGUGAAAUUCGUAGAUAUUCGGAGGAACACCAGUGGCGAAGGCGGUUCACUGGUCCAUUACUGACGCUGAGGUGCGAAAGCGUGGGGAGCAAACAGGAUUAGAUACCCCGGUAGUCCCUGUCUCUUAUAC